AAGGAAUUUUUAAACGAAAAGUAACUUGCAGCCAGGUGACUUUGCUCAUGCCUGUAAUCCCAGAACUUAGGGAGGCCGAGGUGGGUGGAUCACAUGAGGUCAAGAGUUCGAGAUCAGC